rnacentral:rRNA from 1 species
UACACAGUUGUACCUUGUGAACCGUACCAAACUAUUCAGGGGUCGGCUUGUCCGUUAAAUGGUCGUCGGACGCGAGAGAUCGCGGCCGCUCGACCGGCCCCGCACGCGUUUUGUUUUUUAUAAACAUAUGUGUACCUGUCUGACCAAGCGUUGCGGCCGGCCCAAGGGUCGGUCGCGGCAAUUAGAGCAAAAAACGAGAUACAACUUUUGACGGUGGAUCUCUUGGCUCACGCAUCGAUGAAGAACGCAGCCAGCUGCGAUAAGUAGUGUGAAUUGCAGAAUUCAGUGAAUCAUCGAAUCUUUGAACGCAAAUGGCGCUCUUGGGUUCUCCCAGGAGCAUGUCUGUCUGAGUGUCGGAUAUCAUCCAACGCACGCCAGCGUGCGGAAUUGAGGCGUCACGGUCCGUACUGCACGGACCGUGUCCCUUGAAAGUCAGAGAGACUCGCCGCGUCGCGGGAAGAUUCCCCGUGCACACCAGCGGAGGCUAAAAUGUCUUUUGCCCUUCGCGUGCCGGGAAGUCGCCGCGYGCGGCGGUCGUCGUCGGGCGAUC